rnacentral:rRNA from 1 species
AAUCUUCCGCAAUGGACGAAAGUCUGACGGAGCAACGCCGCGUGAGUGAUGAAGGUCUUCGGAUCGUAAAACUCUGUUGUUAGGGAAGAACAAGUAUCGUUCGAAUAGGGAGGUACAUUGACGGUACCUAACCAGAAAGCCACGGCUAACUACGUGCCAGCCGCCGCGUUAAUAAGUAGGUGGCAAGAGUUAUCCGGAAUUAUUGCGCGUAAAGCGCGCGCAGUCAUUUUCUUAAGUUUGCUGUGAAAGACCACGGCUCAACCGUGGAGGGUCAUUGGAAACUGGGAAGCUUGAGUGCAGAAGAGGAGAGUGGAAUUCCAUGUGUAGCGGUGAAAUGCGUAGAGAUAUGGAGGAACACCAGUGGCGGAGGCGACUCUCUGGUCUGCAACUGACGCUGAGGCGCGAAAGCGUGGGGAGCGAACA